UUAGUAACGGCGAGUGAAGCGGCAACAGCUCAAAUUUGAAAUCUGGCCCUCGGGUCCGAAUUGUAAUUUGUAGAGGAUGAUUUUGGUGCGGUAUCUUCCGAGUUCCUUGGAACAGGACGCCUUAGAGGGUGAGAGCCCCGUACGGUUGAAUGCCUAGCCUCUGUAAAUCUCCUUCGACGAGUCGAGUAGUUUGGGAAUGCUGCUCUAAAUGGGAGGUAAAUUUCUUCUAAAGCUAAAUAUUGGCCAGAGACCGAUAGCGCACAAGUAGAGUGAUCGAAAGAUGAAAAGCACUUUGAAAAGAGGGUUAAAUAGCACGUGAAAUUGUUGAAAGGGAAGGAUUUGUGACCAGACUUUUUCUGGGCGGAUCAUCCGGGGUUCUCUCCGGUGCACUUUGCCCAGUAAAGGCCAGCAUCGAUUUUCGGCGGCGGAUAAAAGCAGUGGGAAUGUGGCUCCUUACGGGGAGUGUUAUAGCCCAUUGUAUAAUACGCUGCUGGGGAUCGAGGUACGCGCUUCUGCAAGGAUGCUGGCGUAAUGGUUAUCAAUCACCCGUCUUGAAACACGGACCAAGGAGUCGAACAUUUAUGCGAGUGUUUGGGUGUUAAACCCUCACGCGUAAUGAAAGUGAACGGAGGUGAGAGCCUGUAUGGGUGCAUCAUCGACCGAUCCUGAAGUUUUCGGAUGGAUAUGAGUAAGAGCAUAACUGUUCGGACCCGAAAGAUGGUGAACUAUGCGUGGAUAGGGUGAAGCCAGAGGAAACUCUGGUGGAGGCUCGCAGCGGUUCUGACGUGCAAAUCGAUCGUCAAAUCUGCGCAU
rnacentral:rRNA from 1 species